UACGAAGGGGGCUAGCGUUGCUCGGAAUUACUGGGCGUAAAGCGCACGUAGGCGGUCUUUUAAGUCGGGGGUGAAAUCCUGGAGCUCAACUCCAGAACUGCCUUCGAUACUGGAAGACUCGAGUCCGGGAGAGGUGAGUGGAACUCCUAGUGUAGAGGUGAAAUUCGUAGAUAUUAGGAAGAACACCAGUGGCGAAGGCGGCUCACUGGUCCGGUACUGACGCUGAGGUGCGAAAGCGUGGGGAGCAAACAGGG
rnacentral:rRNA from 1 species